rnacentral:lncRNA from 1 species
GGACAUAGAUGAAGCUGGAAACCCACAUUCUCAGCAAACUAACACAGGAACAGAAAACCAAACACCGCAUGUUCUCACUCACAAGUGGGAGUUAAACAAUGAGAACACAUGGAUACAGGGAGGGGAAUAUCACACACCAGGGUCUGUCCUGGGGUGGGGGCCUAGGGGAGGGGUAGCAUUAGGAGAAAUAACUAAUGUAGAUGUUGGGUUGAUGGGUGCGGCAAACCACCAUGGUACGUGUAUACCUAGAUAACAAACCUGCAAGUUCUGCACAUGUAUCCCAGAACUUAAAGUAUAAAAAAAAAUUACAUAAUUCAAAAAUAACGUUGUUAUUCUUAAGCCUUCUAUAAUAUUGUAACUUGUGUAUAUCCGUACCUGGAUUUGGGUUGAAAUACUUAAUCAUCUUUCCACUGGAAAUAACAGGGAGUGAAAAAGUUUUUGUUGCUUGUACAGUGUCAGAUGAAGAACAACACUAUCUUAAUUUUGCAAUAUACUGCAUUUGCUGGUGCUAUUUUUACAUGUGAAGCAACAGCUUUGCAGCAAAAUAAUAAAAUACUUUUUCGUUAAAAAAAAUAGCAAAACUCCAUCUCAAAAAAUAAAGUUUAGAAGAAUUUCUGGCACAUAAUGGUAUAAAAUAUGACCACCAAUUUACAGUGCUCUUUAAAUCUUAUGAAGGACUUUCAACUAUAUUAGCUCAUUUUAAUCACACAAUAGCACUUAGUGUAUUUAUUACUAUUUCAAACUUACAGAUAAAGAAGCUGAGACUCAGAAAGGUUAAGUGACUUUCCAAGAUCAUAUAGCUUAAAAGUGGCAAAAGGAAUGCUCAAACCCCAAUCGUCUGACUGCGAACUCUGGAUAGGAAUGGAGUAUUUGUUUUAUUGGAAAGGAGCAUCACUAGAACCAGAUGCAUGUGAUUCCUUGAAAUAUGGAGUCUUUUUGCUGUUUCUGCA